GACGAACGCUGGCGGCGUGCUUAACACAUGCAAGUCGAACGCUGGAGCUUGGGUGCUUGCAUCUGGGUGGAUGAGUGGCGAACGGGUGAGUAAUACGUGAGUAACCUGCCCUUGACUCUGGGAUAAGCCUGGGAAACUGGGUCUAAUACUGGAUACUACAUUCUCUCGCAUGGGGGUGUGUGGAAAGGGUUUUACUGGUUUUGGAUGGGCUCACGGCCUAUCAGCUUGUUGGUGGGGUAAUGGCCUACCAAGGCGACGACGGGUAGCCGGCCUGAGAGGGUGACCGGCCACACUGGGACUGAGACACGGCCCAG
rnacentral:rRNA from 1 species